UGGGGAAUAUUGGACAAUGGGCGCAAGCCUGAUCCAGCCAUGCCGCGUGAGUGAUGAAGGCCUUAGGGUUGUAAAGCUCUUUUAUCCGGGACGAUAAUGACGGUACCGGAGGAAUAAGCCCCGGCUAACUUCGUGCCAGCAGCCGCGGUAAUACGAAGGGGGCUAGCGUUGCUCGGAAUCACUGGGCGUAAAGGGCGCGUAGGCGGCGUUUUAAGUCGGGGGUGAAAGCCUGUGGCUCAACCACAGAAUGGCCUUCGAUACUGGGACGCUUGAGUAUGGUAGAGGUUGGUGGAACUGCGAGUGUAGAGGUGAAAUUCGUAGAUAUUCGCAAGAACACCGGUGGCGAAGGCGGCCAACUGGACCAUCACUGACGCUGAGGCGCGAAAGCGUGGGGAGCAAACA
rnacentral:rRNA from 1 species